ACAGGCUCCAGACGCGCAGCCUCAGUAGUUGUGGCUCACGGGCCUAGUUGCUCUGCGGCAUGCGGGAUCUUCCCAGACCAGGGCUCGAACCUGUGUCCCCUGCAUUGACAGGCAGAUUCUCAACCACUGCACCACCAGGAAAGCCCCAAAUCAGAUUUUUUUAAGUUAUAUUUCAUUAAAAGGUAUAUGCCCUAAAUGUGACUUGUUCUUUGUCCACUCAGCAAAUAUCUGCUGUGCUCCUACUAUGUGUCCGGCUCUGUACUAGCUUUAGGGAUUAGCUUUGGAUGGUUGUU